CCGAAUUGUCAACAAGAGUUGUUGCUGGUCCCUGUAUGGGGGCAUGUGCACGCUCUGUUUACACAUCCACUCACACCUGUGCACCCUCUGUAGUUCUAUGGCCUGGGUGGGCUCUGUCCCCCUGCUGUGGUUCUGCAUCUUUACAUACACACUACAACAAAGUCUCAUGGAAUGUAUACCGCGUUUAACGCAAUGAAAUA
rnacentral:misc_RNA from 1 species